rnacentral:rRNA from 1 species
UGAGUAGGGCGGGACACGUGGUAUCCUGUCUGAAUAUGGGGGGACCAUCCUCCAAGGCUAAAUACUCCUGACUGACCGAUAGUGAACCAGUACCGUGAGGGAAAGGCGAAAAGAACCCCGGCGAGGGGAGUGAAAAAGAACCUGAAACCGUGUACGUACAAGCAGUGGGAGCCUCUUAAUGGGGUGACUGCGUACCUUUUGUAUAAUGGGUCAGCGACUUAUAUUCUGUAGCAAGGUUAACCGAAUAGGGGAGCCGAAGGGAAACCGAGUCUUAACUGGGCGUUAAGUUGCAGGGUAUAGACCCGAAACCCGGUGAUCUAGCCAUGGGCAGGUUGAAGGUUGGGUAACACUAACUGGAGGACCGAACCGACUAAUGUUGAAAAAUUAGCGGAUGACUUGUGGCUGGGGGUGAAAGGCCAAUCAAACCGGGAGAUAGCUGGUUCUCCCCGAAAGCUAUUUAGGUAGCGCCUCGUGAAUUCAUCUCCGGGGGUAGAGCACUGUUUCGGCAAGGGGGUCAUCCCGACUUACCAACCCGAUGCAAACUGCGAAUACCGGAGAAUGUUAUCACGGGAGACACACGGCGGGUGCUAACGUCCGUCGUGAAGAGGGAAACAACCCAGACCGCCAGCUAAGGUCCCAAAGUCAUGGUUAAGUGGGAAACGAUGUGGGAAGGCCCAGACAGCCAGGAUGUUGGCUUAGAAGCAGCCAUCAUUUAAAGAAAGCGUAAUAGCUCACUGGUCGAGUCGGCCUGCGCGGAAGAUGUAACGGGGCUAAACCAUGCACCGAAGCUGCGGCAGCGACGCUUAUGCGUUGUUGGGUAGGGGAGCGUUCUGUAAGCCUGUGAAGGUGGCCUGUGAGGGUUGCUGGAGGUAUCAGAAGUGCGAAUGCUGACAUAAGUAACGAUAAAGCGGGUGAAAAGCCCGCUCGCCGGAAGACCAAGGGUUCCUGUCCAACGUUAAUCGGGGCAGGGUGAGUCGACCCCUAAGGCGAGGCCGAAAGGCGUAGUCGAUGGGAAACAGGUUAAUAUUCCUGUACUUGGUGUUACUGCGAAGGGGGGACGGAGAAGGCUAUGUUGGCCGGGCGACGGUUGUCCCGGUUUAAGCGUGUAGGCUGGU